CUGAGUUGCAAACUCUCUAAACCAUUGUGAACCUAACUAUCCGUUGCUUCGGCGGGGACGGCCUCAGCGGCCUCGCGCCACCCCUCGGGGAGGCAGCCGCGGAGGCGUCAAACUCUUAGUAUUAAUUGGCUUCUCUGAGUAGCUUAUUCAAUAAGUCA
rnacentral:misc_RNA from 1 species